rnacentral:tRNA from 1 species
GGACCGGUAGUUCAGUUGGUUAGAAUGCCGCCCUGUCACGGCGGAGGUCGCGGGUUCGAGUCCCGUCCGGUCCGC